CAACUCUAGAGAUAGAGUCUUCCCCUUCGGGGGACAAAGUGACAGGUGGUGCAUGGUUGUCGUCAGCCCGUGUCGUGAGAUGUUGGGUUAAGUCCCGCAACGAGCGCAACCCUUAAGCUUAGUUGCCAGCAUUAAGUUGGGCACUCUAAGUUGACUGCCGGUGACAAACCGGAGGAAGGUGGGGAUGACGUCAAAUCAUCAUGCCCCUUAUGAUUUGGGCUACACACGUGCUACAAUGGACAAUACAAAGGGCAGCUAAACCGCGAGGUCAUGCAAAUCCCAUAAAGUUGUUCUCAGUUCGGAUUGUAGUCUGCAACUCGACUACAUGAAGCUGGAAUCGCUAGUAAUCGUAGAUCAGCAUGCUACGGUGAAUACGUUCCCGGGUCUUGUACACACCGCCCGUCACACCACGAGAGUCUGUAACACCCGAAGCCGGUGGAGUAACCAUUUAUGGAGCUAGCCGUCGAAGGUGGGACAAAUGAUUGGGGUGAAGUCGUAACAAGGUAGCCGUAUCGGAAGGUG
rnacentral:rRNA from 1 species